rnacentral:rRNA from 1 species
CCUACGGGAGGCAGCAGUAAGGAAUAUUGGUCAAUGGGCGCAAGCCUGAACCAGCCAUGCCGCGUGCAGGAAGGCGGCCCUACGGGUUGUAAACUGCUUUUGUACCGGAAUAAACCCUUUUACGUGUAAGAGGCUGAAUGUACGGUAAGAAUAAGGAUCGGCUAACUCCGUGCCAGCAGCCGCGGUAAUACGGAGGAUCCAAGCGUUAUCCGGAUUUAUUGGGUUUAAAGGGUGCGUAGGUGGCUUUUUAAGUCAGGGGUGAAAGACGGUAGCUUAACUAUCGCAGUGCCUUUGAUACUGAAGAGCUUGAAUGAACUAGAGGUAGGCGGAAUGUGACAAGUAGCGGUGAAAUGCAUAGAUAUGUCACAGAACACCAAUUGCGAAGGCAGCUUACUAUGGUUUUAAUUGACACUGAGGCACGAAAGCGUGGGGAUCAAACAGGAUUAGAUACCCUGGUAGUCCACGCCCUAAACGAUGAAUACUCGAUGUUGGCGAUAUACGGUCAGCGUCUAAGCGAAAGCGUUAAGUAUUCCACCUGGGGUAGACGCCCGCAAGGGUGAAACUCAAUGAAUUGACGGCUGAGAGNGCGACGCGACGACGAGGGAGAGG